GAUGAACGCUGGCGGCGUGCUUAACACAUGCAAGUCGAACGGAAAGGCCCUGCUUUUGUGGGGUGCUCGCGUGGCGAGCGGGUGAGUAACACGUGAGUAAACUGCCCCCGAAUUUGGGAUAAAUUGAGCGAAAUGGGGCUAAUACCGGAUAGGAGCCCUUGCAGCAUAGUAUGGGUUGGAAAGUUUGGGCGGUUGGGGAUGGACUCGUGGUUUAUCAGGUUGUUGGUGGGGAAGUGGCUUACCAAAGCUUUGACGGGUAGCCGGCCUGGUAUGGUGACCUGCCACAUCGGACCGGAAGUGCGGCCCAGUCCCCAACCGUAGGGGACAGUGGGGAAUAGUGCACUACACGCUGAAGCCUGAUGUGACGGCGCCGCGUGGGGGAUGACGGCCAUCGGUUUGGAACGCGCUUUCCCCUUAGACGAAGCGAGAGUGACGGUAACUGAUGAAUAAGCACCGGCUAACUACGUG
rnacentral:rRNA from 1 species